rnacentral:lncRNA from 1 species
GGGAGUUACAGAUAUCAAGGUUAGAGUCUUACUGUCUGAGCAGCCAGGCUUAAGACAAAAGUGGGAGUUCAAGGUUUCCAUUCCUGAACUGAAAGUCUGAAUUUAAUACUUGCUUAAUACUUCUUUGGAGGCUUUUUGUCAUUAAAUAUGGCUGAUGUUGGUGGUCAGGUCAGUUAGGGGAAAACCAUAAAUUUAGGGUUCCUGAUUUCUCUGAAACACUUUCGGCAAGUGUGUGAGGAUGGGCCUUUAUCCUGAGACAUGCUCAUGGCUCCUUGCACCUGAGGAAUGCUCUGUGGCGAGCUGAAGAGAAUCAGUGGGAGGCUGUUGCCAGUGUUGGAUAAUUCUGAACUACUAAAAACUCAAUCAAGUCCAAAUUUCACACCUGGCCUUAUAAUGGACGAGAGUGAAACCCCAGAGCAGAGCACAGCCGACCAUAUAAGAAAGACUGAAAAAUUUUACCUAAGGUCAGAGCAUCUGAUGAAUGGGUUAAAGUGGAAUGGCUGUCGGAAACCAGAAAUGUAACCAAGGGCCAGGAUAGGAAGAAGCAUCAUGACUGGAUGAAAGAAGAGGCAGUAAGUGACUCCAUUGGUUUGAAAAGACCUAAAUCUACAGGUGUCAUUCCCAUUCUGCUGCACAUCACAUAAACCUUUCCUGCAAAAGACUCGGCCUGUGUCAUCCUGCUAACAGGGAAAUUUGAAGGUUGGGCUUCCUUCACAUGUUUGUUAGGUCCCUCUCUUCUUAUAGGCCUGGACUUCUUACAGUAUCCUUCUGACUUCUAAUGUGUCCUUCUGACACAUUCUUUAGAUAUGCAACUGGGCACUAACUCAACUUAUUUUCUACUCUAUUUUAAUUCCAGCACUUUUCAUUUGGGAUUUGAAGACUUUAGUACUAGAGGCCCAACCUGACAAUUCAGGCAUGCAUUGUAAUGUUUUAGGGUAGGGCAUAUAUGACAGUAUUUUAGUAAGGAGACAGUGUUUGGAAAAGUGAAGAUGCUAUAGGGAUUAAUUCAGACUUGUGAAAAGAAUAGACAAAAUAUUCUGUUGGGUUUCCUUUCACCAUUGUUAGAACAAUGGUAAUACUGAGUAACAAAACGUCUACUCUCUGUCUUUUUCAAUAAUUAAGUUGAUAAAAAAUAUAUAAAAUGUAACUGAAAAGGACAGGUAUGUGUCACCAUAAGGGUGCUCUGUGUCACAAAGCACGUAUGUGUUAGCUCCAACCAAAACAACCACCCACUCAGGGUACUAAAGGGUAGGCAUGCUGUUAUGACCCAGAUUCAAAUGGUGAGAGUAGGAGUGAGAAAGUGAAAGUGUUAAUAAUACUUCAAGCACAGAGCUAAUGAGAGGGGAAUUUCUGGGAUUCCCCUUUCUUUCUUGUUCUCUCUCAAAAGAAAACUACAGAGUUCCCUCAAAAAGAAAAAGAAAAAAAAAAAAAAGAAAGAAAAAAAAAGCAUCUCUUUGGGUUAUCAACAAAUACUGAACUUGAAGACUGAGUGAUGUGCAGCACAACUGUGUGCCUAUCAUGGCUGAAAA